rnacentral:misc_RNA from 1 species
AGUUCAGCUAGAAUAGCAAAAAAAGCUAAGCCAAAAGCUGAACAGAAAACAAGUGAAUCAAAACAACUAGCUCAUAUUGGUCACAUCAAGAGCCAUCAGAUUUCAUCCUCAUUCCUAUUUGAUAUGUUUGUUAAAAUAUAUUAGAGAUAAGUCAUACAAGGUUUGGAUGAUACUAAUGUUCAACUGUAAGCCCUUACCUUU